CAAAAAACACAUUACACAUAGACUCUUCUCUCUCUAAGUAUGUUUUAGAGAGAGAAGAUCUGCAACACAAAAGCUUCUUCUCCGAUUGCCUUCAAUAUUCCGGCGCGGUGGCUUGCCGGCCCAACAGGGCGCCGCCGCCACGCCGGCGAACUCAACCGCCUUCUUUUUUAAAACAAAAAUACAAAUUCUAACUCCUUUUUCUUUCUAAAUCCAAAUCUCAAAUCAAAAACUUCAAACAAUAAACACACGGAUCAAGAUCUACAUUUAAACUUCUGAAACAAAACCUCAAAAAAACUUUAGAUCUAAGCUUCUAUACAGCAACAAAUAUGAAAUACUACCUUAAAGCCUUGCAAAAAGGAUGGUUCGGUGAGUUCCUCCCCUGCUCCGGUUCGGUUCAGCCGCGAGCUUUUCCCCUCCGGUUCGGUUUGGCCGCGAGCUUUUCUCCUCCGGUUCGGCUUCUGAUUCCUUCUUCGACUUAGUUCGUCACCGAUCCAAUUGUUUGAGUUGCUUGAUAUGAACGAGUUGUAAUUAGUGAAGAAUACGUGAAAGUAAGUUGUUGUUUGUCUCACUGUGUUGAUGCAAAGAACAGAUCCGCAAGCGAAUCACUAGAAAAAAGUGGUUUAUAUGAUAUUUGGAAUUUAAAUGUUCAUAGUGUUCUUGCGGUUCAUAUGAGUUUUUCGUUAUUUUGAUUCUGAGAUUGGGAAAGAGGGUUUGUUGAUUUGCGGCUGCCGAUCAUUGGAGUCUGUGAAAGUUUGUGCGGCCUCCCCCCUUCUCUUUUUUGCAGGUUUGAUUUUAUAGCAUUAGGGUUGAAGAGAAAAAGGAAACAAGUUGCAGAAACAGCAACCAUGUACUGGAUUUGGAAACAAAAAUUUGACCCUAUGAAUCUGCCUAUCUGCCUGAAUAUGAGGCGUAUGAAAAAAAUAUAUUUUUUUGGACCCUUGCUGGGAUUUUUUGGACUCAUUGACAUUAUAACACAAAAACAGAAAAUAAACUAAAAAAGAGUAACUAAUUUUAAAAUCAAAACUAAAAUUAAAACUAAUAAAAGAUGGAAAUUAAAUACUG
rnacentral:lncRNA from 1 species